AUACUGAGUGUUUUUGGAAGAGUCCUUGUUCCUGAUGCUGGGCAUUUCUGGAAGAGGCCUUUUUCACUGGGGCCUCCCUAAGCAUGGGACUAAGGUGACCGCCAUGAUGAAAGACCAGAUUCUCAUGAAGAAACCAUUUGUGAAGGAUUUUGAUCAGGCAACAUGGGCAUGCAGGUUUAAACACAGCCCCCAGCCUUCCAUGCCUGGCAAGCCACUUUCUAAUGCAUGUCUAGAUUUCUCAAUGAAAAACGUAGUUGAACUCAUGAAAGCCUAUCUUUAAAAAAUAUUAAAUAGCUAAUCUUAUAAACCCCUA
rnacentral:lncRNA from 1 species